UAACCAUAAACGCCGCUCUGAGGGCUGGGCC
rnacentral:sRNA from 1 species